AAUGCACAAUUUUGUAAGUCGCUCUGGAUAAAAGCGUCUGCUAAAUGACUUAAA
rfam:Salmo salar isolate Sally breed double haploid chromosome ssa07, whole genome shotgun sequence.